rnacentral:rRNA from 1 species
UACGUAGGGGCCUAGCGUUGUCCGGAUUUAUUGGGCGUAAAGAGCUCGUAGGCGGUUCGGUAAGUCAGGUGUGAAAUCUCCACGCUCAACGUGGAGGCGCCACCUGAAACUGCCGUGACUCGAGUCCGGUAGGGGAGUGUGGAAUUCCCGGUGUAGCGGUGAAAUGCGCAGAUAUCGGGGGGAAUACCAGUGGCGAAAGCGGCACCCUAGCAUUUUUCUGACGCUCAGUGUACGAAAAGCGGUGG